AGCCUGACGCAGCCAUGCCGCGUGGAUGAUGAAGGUCUUAGGAUUGUAAAAUCCUUUCACCGGUGAAGAUAAUGACUGUAGCCGGAGAAGAAGCCCCGGCUAACUUCGUGCCAGCAGCCGCGGUAAUACGAAGGGGGCUAGCGUUGCUCGGAAUUACUGGGCGUAAAGGGAGCGUAGGCGGACAUUUAAGUCAGGGGUGAAAUCCCGAGGCUCAACCUCGGAACUGCCUUUGAUACUGGGUGUCUUGAGUGUGAGAGAGGUAUGUGGAACUCCGAGUGUAGAGGUGAAAUUCGUAGAUAUUCGGAAGAACACCAGUGGCGAAGGCGACAUACUGGCUCAUUACUGACGCUGAGGCUCGAAAGCGUGGGGAGCAAACAGGAUUAGAUACCCUGGUAGUCCACGCCGUAAACGAUGAUUGCUAGUUGUCGGGAAGCUUGCUUUUCGGUGACGCAGCUAACGCAUUAAGCAAUCCGCCUGGGGAGUACGGUCGCAAGAUUAAAACUCAAAG
rnacentral:rRNA from 1 species